rnacentral:rRNA from 1 species
AGAGUUUGAUCCUGGCUCAGGAUGAACGCUAGCGGGAGGCUUAACACAUGCAAGUCGAGGGGUAUUCAGUUUUCGGACUGGAGAGACCGGCGCACGGGUGAGUAACGCGUAUGCAACCUGCCCAUAACAGAGGGAUAGCUCCCGGAAACGGGAAUUAAUACCUCAUAAUAUCUUGAUAUCUCAUGGUAUCGGGAUUAAAACUCAGGUGGUUAUGGAUGGGCAUGCGUGACAUUAGCCAGUUGGUAGGGUAACGGCCUACCAAGGCAACGAUGUCUAGGGGGUCUGAGAGGAUGAUCCCCCACACUGGUACUGAGACACGGACCAGACUCCUACGGGAGGCAGCAGUGAGGAAUAUUGGUCAAUGGGCGCAAGCCUGAACCAGCCAUCCCGCGUGAAGGAUGACGGCCCUAGUGGUUGUAAACUUCUUUUCUAUAGGAAGAACCCUCCGACGUGUCGGAGCUUGACUGUACUAUAGGAAUAAGCAUCGGCUAACUCCGUGCCAGCAGCCGCGGUAAUACGGAGGAUGCAAGCGUUAUCCGGAUUUAUUGGGUUUAAAGGGUGCGUAGGCGGAUUGAUAAGUCAGUGGUGAAAGCCUGCAGCUUAACUGUAGAAUUGCCAUUGAUACUGUUAGUCUUGAGUGAAGUUGAGGUAGGCGGAAUGUGUAAUGUAGCGGUGAAAUGCUUAGAUAUUACACAGAACACCGAUUGCGAAGGCAGCUUACUAAGCUAUAACUGACGCUGAGGCACGAAAGCGUGGGGAUCGAACAGGAUUAGAUACCCUGGUAGUCCACGCCGUAAACGAUGAUUACUUGUUGUUGGCAAUACAUAGUCAGUGACAAAGCGAAAGCAUUAAGUAAUCCACCUGGGGAGUACGCCGGCAACGGUGAAAUUCAAAGGAAUUGACGGGGGCCCGCACAAGCGGUGGAACAUGUGGUUUAAUUCGAUGAUACGCGAGGAACCUUACCUGGGCUUAAAUGUAGACUGCAUUUUCGAGAAAUCGAGAUUUCCUUCGGGACUGUUUACAAGGUGCUGCAUGGUUGUCGUCAGCUCGUGCCGUGAGGUGUCGGAUUAAGUUCCAUAACGAGCGCAACCCUUAUCAUUAGUUGCCAUCAGUUCGGCUGGGGACUCUAAUGAAACUGCCGGUGUAAACCGUGAGGAAGGUGGGGAUGACGUCAAAUCAGCACGGCCCUUAUGUCCAGGGCUACACACGUGUUACAAUGGCCAGUACAAAGGGCAGCUACCUCGUGAGAGGAUGCUAAUCUCCAAAACUGGUCCAAGUUCGGAUCGAAGUCUGCAACUCGACUUCGUGAAGCUGGAAUCGCUAGUAAUCGCGCAUCAGCCACGGCGCGGUGAAUACGUUCCCGGGCCUUGUACACACCGCCCGUCAAGCCAUGGGAGUUUUGGGUACCUGAAGUUCGUAACCGCAAGGAGCGACCUAGGGUAAACAGAGUGACUGGGGCUAAGUCGUAACAAGGUA